GGCCUCGUGGCCCAAUGGCAAGGCGUCUGACUACGAAGACAAUUCCCCCCGGUAUUCACUCGGUAAAGAAUUGUCCACGGUAAUCAGGAGAUUCUGGGUUCGACCCCCAGCGAGGUCA
rnacentral:tRNA from 2 species